GAUGAACGCUAGCGGCAUGCCUAAUACAUGCAAGUCGAGCGAGCAGACCUUUCGCGGGCUGAAAUCGCCUUACCGGUGCGCAACUGGUUAACAACCUAAUUUCCACCGGAGGAUAGCCCGAUGACUUCUGGAUUAAUAACCUAUUACAUUGUUAUAUAGUAUACUUUGGCAAUUAAAACUGCGGUAGUGAUUGAUGGUCAUGCAUACUUUUAGCCAGUUGGCGUGGUAACGGCAAUCCAAGGCUACGAUAGGUAGGGGUCAUGAGAGGGAGAUCCUCCACACUGGUACUGAGACAGGGACCAGACUCCUACGGGAGGCAGCAGUGAGGAAUAUUGGGCAAGGGUCGGAAGACUGAACCAGCCAUGCCGCGUGCAGGAAGAAUGCCUUAUGGGUUGUAAACUGCUUUUAUAUGGGAAGAAUAAGGCGUACGUGUACGUUGAUGACGGUACCAUAUGAAUAAGCAUCGGCUAACUCCGUG
rnacentral:rRNA from 1 species